GGGUUGUGAGGUUAAGCGACUAAGCGUACACGGUGGAUGCCCUGGCAGUCAGAGGCGAUGAAGGACGUGCUAAUCUGCGAUAAGCGUCGGUAAGGUGAUAUGAACCGUUAUAACCGGCGAUUUCCGAAUGGGGAAACCCAGUGUGAUUCGUCACACUAUCAUUAACUGAAUCCAUAGGUUAAUGAGGCGAACCGGGGGAACUGAAACAUCUAAGUACCCCGAGGAAAAGAAAUCAACCGAGAUUCCCCCAGUAGCGGCGAGCGAACGGGGAGCAGCCCAGAGCCUGAAUCAGUGUGUGUGUUAGUGGAAGCGUCUGGAAAGGCGCGCGAUACAGGGUGACAGCCCCGUACACAAAAAUGCACAUACUGUGAGCUCGAUGA
rnacentral:rRNA from 1 species